rnacentral:lncRNA from 1 species
CUUGAUAAACAAAUCUUCCCUAGGAAACAAAACAAAAAUAGGCCAAUUAGUAUUUUCCUUUAAUGACAAAUCAGGAUGUUCUCUUCUUUUUCUUUCUUUUUCUUCUUUCUCUUCUCUCUCUUUCUUUUCUUUCUCCUCUCUGACUUUUUUUUCUUUCUCUGUUUUUUCUCUAUUUUCUCUUUCUUCACACUCUCUCCUUUUCUUUUCUCUUCUUUUUUCUAUCUUUUCUCUUUCUUCAUACUCUAUCUUUUCUUUUUCUUCUUUU